AGAAAGAGAGAGAGUGUGUAUUUGAGUGUGUUGGUUACACAACCUGGUAUUUCACCAGCUAAGAGGUUUUCUCAUCUUCUUAAGGAAAUCCUUACACCUCAACAUGGUGAGAAGAAAUCGAGUAUUUCCCCACGACUUGGUCAAGGAGCAGCAGCAGAUCUUACUCCAGGAGGCAAAAUCACUGCUCUUCUGAGAUCCCCCUCGCCGUAUUGCACCCUUGCCAAUGGGCAAAAAUGUGCAAGUGGCAGAUGUCAAGGGCCAGGAGAACAGCAUUCCUGCCAGACCAAAAAUGGAGGGAAAGGACCUUAGGGCCCCACCCAGG